AUGCCGACCAUGCCAUCCCAUGCGCUGGCCCUCGUGCUCCUCCUUCUCGCAGCAAGCAAAGCAGCUUCCCAGGGGGUAUGCAUAGACCCCCGUCCUUCUUCCGCCGCAGCACCAGCGCCACCAACGUCCAACACUACCAACAGCAGCGCGUUCCGCACCAACGUCCUCACGCUCCUGAACGCCCUCCCCCAGGCCGUAGCGCCAACGGGCUUCGCCUCCCUCUCCUUGGGCACCGGCCGCGACCGUGCCUUCGUCCGCGGCCUCUGCCGCGGCGAUACCACGCCGUCUCAGUGCCUCGCUGACAUGCAAGCAAGCGUCAUCGACUUACGCGGCAGGUGCGCGUCAAACCGGAGCGCGGCAGCCUAUUACGACAAGGCCUACAUCACCUUCGCCGACACCAACGACACGAUCAACCUCUACUACGAGAAGCGCUCGCUUAACGCGCUGUACGACGUCCUCACAGUGUCCGACCCAGAAAGCUUCGACCGGACGUACAACGUGCUGAUGAAGCGCCUGGUGGCGCGGGCGGCCAGCGAAGGAGGCAACACCUCGGCGAUGUUCGCCACCGGGGAGGCGGUGUACGCACCAAGCGAUCCCAAAGGGACGAUGUACGGUCUCGUGCAGUGCAUGAGGGACCUCAGCGCCUCGCAGUGCGACUGGUGCCUGCAGUCCUUGGUACCAGUGCUGCCGACGUGCUGCUACGGAUAUCAGGGAGGGGUGGCGCGAAACUUCAACUGCCUGCUUCGGAUUCAAAUAUAUACCUUCUACGACCUGGCGCUCGAUGCUCCGCCUCCGGCUGCUCCAACACCGGGAUCCCCCGACGAAACACGCCGAAACACAAGAUUACAGCAUGUCAUCCUUGCUGUCGCCAUUUCUGUUGGGACACUAUUUGUCCUAGUCGUUGUGCUUGCUUGUGUUCGUCGGCAGAGGAAAAGGAUCAAGGCAGACAAGGAACAACAAGAUAAUGCAGGAGAGGGCUUGAACUAUAUUAGUCUCCAAGUGUUGAGGGUUGCCACAUCCAAUUUUUCUAUAAACAACAAACUGGGAGAGGGAGGAUUCGGAGAGGUUUUUAAGGGGGAAAUGCAGGACGGAAUGAAAAUAGCCGUCAAAAGGCUGUCAAAGGACUCUGUUCAAGGGUUUGGUGAGCUGAAAAAUGAGCUAGUGCUAGCUAACAAACUUAAGCACAAGAAUCUGGUGCAGCUUCUCGGUGUUUGCUUGCAAGAGAAACUGCUGGUGUACGAAUAUAUGCCUAAUGGAAGCCUAGACACGAUUAUUUUCAAUUCGGAGAAGGCACACCAACUCGAUUGGAUGAAAAGAAGCAUGAUCAUCUCUGGGAUUGCUCGAGGUCUACUGUAUCUCCACCAGGAGUCUCGUCUAAAAGUCAUCCACCGUGACCUGAAGCCAAGCAACGUCUUACUGGACCUGGAUAUGAACCCCAAGAUCUCAGAUUUUGGUCUUUCUAGGGCUUUCGGUGGAGAUCAAUCGAUGGAUGUAACAAAACGUGCUGUUGGUACACUCGGAUACAUGGCUCCGGAAUAUGCGUACCACGGCCAAGUCUCUACCAAGUCAGACAUGUAUAGCUUCGGAGUCGUAGUUGUAGAGAUUGUGACUGGUAGGAGGAACAAUGCAUCACUCGACGAUGAUACUGCCUCCAGAUCUCUGCUCAGCCAGGUAUGGGAAGCGUGGAGCGCAGGCUCGAUGGAAGAGGUGGUGGAUCCUUCCCUGGGCAGAGGUUACCCCAAGAACGAUGUGCUAAAGUGCGUGCAGAUCGGGCUGCUGUGUCUCCAGGAGGAUCCCAGCGCCAGGCCGGCCGCGUGGGAGGUCGUCCUCAUGCUCGACAGCCCCUCCAUGUCCAUGACUAUGCGGACUCCGACCAGGCCAGCGUUCUGCUUCACACAACCUGGAGUCAGCAACCCCACGCUCAGUUACCAAAGCAGCCGGCCGCGGGGUGCUAUCACCAGCCAACAACUGCCUACCCCCGUUUCAGGCAAUGACGUGACGAUUUCUGAUGUCGAGCCUAGGUAG
rnacentral:rRNA from 1 species